AAUAGGAAAAUGAUAAAUCGGAUUUUUUUCUCUUUAUUUUUAGCUUUUUCCUCUUUAAAAAAAUUUAAAUUCAACUAAAAAUGGUAAAAAUUAGGAGGAGAUCUGAUUUGUCAUUUUCCUAUU
rnacentral:pre_miRNA from 1 species